rnacentral:rRNA from 3 species
GGGGAAUUUUCCGCAAUGGGCGAAAGCCUGACGGAGCAAUACCGCGUGAGGGAGGAAGGCUCUUGGGUCGUAAACCUCUUUUCUCAGGGAAGAACACAAUGACGGUACCUGAGGAAUAAGCAUCGGCUAACUCCGUGCCAGCAGCCGCGGUAAUACGGAGGAUGCAAGCGUUAUCCGGAAUGAUUGGGCGUAAAGCGUCCGCAGGUGGCGAUGUAAGUCUGCUGUUAAAGAGUGAGGCUCAACCUCAUAAGAGCAGUGGAAACUACAUAGCUAGAGUACGUUCGGGGCAGAGGGAAUUCCUGGUGUAGCGGUGAAAUGCGUAGAGAUCAGGAAGAACACCAGUGGCGAAGGCGCUCUGCUAGGCCGUAACUGACACUGAGGGACGAAAGCUAGGGGAGCGAAUGGGAUUAGAUACCCCAGUAGUCCUAGCCGUAAACGAUGGAUACUAGGCGUGGCUUGUAUCGACCCGAGCCGUGCCGUAGCUAACGCGUUAAGUAUCCCGCCUGGGGAGUACGCCGGCAACGGUGAAACUCAAAGGAAUUGACGGGGGCCCGCACAAGCGGUGGAGUAUGUGGUUUAAUUCGAUGCAACGCGAAGAACCUUACCAAGGCUUGACAUGUCGCGAAUCUUGAUGAAAGUUGAGAGUGCCUUCGGGAGCGCGAACACAGGUGGUGCAUGGCUGUCGUCAGCUCGUGUCGUGAGAUGUUGGGUUAAGUCCCGCAACGAGCGCAACCCUCGUUUUUAGUUGCCAGCAUUAAGUUGGGCACUCUAGAGAGACUGCCGGUGACAAACCGGAGGAAGGUGGGGAUGACGUCAAGUCAGCAUGCCCCUUACGCCUUGGGCUACACACGUACUACAAUGCUCCGGACAGAGGGCAGCAAGCAUGCGAAUGCAAGCAAAUCCCGGAAACCGGAGCUCAGUUCAGAUCGCAGGCUGCAACUCGCCUGCGUGAAGGAGGAAUCGCUAGUAAUUGCAGGUCAGCAUACUGCAGUGAAUUCGUUCCCGGGCCUUGUACACACCGCCCGUCACACCAUGGAAGCUGGUAGUGCCCGAAGUCAUUACUUCAACCAUUCGUGGAGGAGGAUGCCUAAGGCAGGACUGGUGACUGGGGUGAAGUCGUAACAAGGUAGCCGUACCGGAAGGUGUGGCUGGAUCACCUCCUU